UUAAAAGUUGAUUUAUUGAAUACUUGUAAAUAAAAGAAAAUUAAGUAGAUUUACAAAUCAUUUGCUUUUCUCACCUAACAUCUUUUUAAGAUAAUUUGCCUCCUCAUAACCACAUAUAUAUGAUUUUAAAAAUCAAAAGAUAAUAUGAAACCAGCUAUUCAGGACAAGUUUUUUACAAUAUAUAGCACUCCUCGGCCUAAAAAACAUUUUUAAACAUAAGUAUUGCCAAAUUAUCUCCUAUUUAAAACUGUGCCACAGAGUUUUUCAUGAGUUCAAUUUAUCUUACUCAAGAAAGUAUUAUAAACAAAAUAAACAUUUAAGCUAAAAAGUUCACACAUCAGCGAUCACUGAUUGAGAUUAACACUAUGAAGUAACAUAAGUAAUAAUUGUUUUAGAGAAAUACCAGAGUUUUAUGUGAUUGCUCAUUAUAAUUUAAAAUGAUGCUACAGGGAAUGUAAUCUUGGCUUGCUAACUUUUUCUUAAUUGAGUAUGUGAAUAUGAAUACCUAAUAAUGCAGUGCAAGUAAAUAAUAGCCUGCAAUAUGGGUGAAUUUAAUAGCUUAAAAUGGUGCACAUUCUAAGGGCAUAUAAUUCUUGUUUUAUAAUUAUUGACAGUAUUUUAUACUAAGAUCAAAACCAAGAUAAUUUUUGUGCUUUGAUCUUUGAAAUUGAUUUUAAGAUUCCACUGUUAAAUUAGAAGAUGCUUAUGGGAAAUGUUACCAAAAUUAUUUUUUUAUGAGAAAAUAGAAAUAAUCAUGCAAAUUUUGAGUUUGUAACUCUGUUGCCUUAGACUUGUGACCUAAAGUUUAACGAUAAAAUGGAGAAGAUAUCAGCCUGCCUGAUUUGGUGAUAAAGAGCUGUUCAGAGCAUCUAGCUUCAAAGCAUUUAGUCUUUUCCUAACUGAAUGCUUCCUUACUGUUGGUCAUCAAUAUAACACAAUUUUAUUGGUUAUUUACUUUAAUUUGAAACUUAGAGGAGGCUGUAAAAAUAAAAAGACAGAUUCUUAUAAUACGUAAAAUAUAGUUUUUAGGAAAUUCUGGAGCCUCAAUGACUGUAUUUGGUUUUGGUUAUUUUUACCAUAAUCAUAAUACCUGAAAUAUAUGUUUUGUUGUGUGUAAUUAUGCAUGGAGUAAUUUCUCACUACAGAACACUACUUUGGAAUGGGUAAUGAUGGAGGGUUAGUUAGAACAAGUGAUGUCAGAAUUUUAGAAUAAUUUUAAAGAGAUGAAUUUACUACUUACAACUACAUUUAUAAAAAAUUAGUUGUGUUUGUCUUGUUUUCCCUAAUAAAUUUUGUGCUCCUGAAGACAGGUAAGCCAAUACAUAGCAUCAUAUCUAGAAUAGGGGAAAUACUCAAUAAAUGUUUGACUGAAAAAAUGAAUAGUGAAUUGUCUAUUGACUAAAACGUUAUUCCCUUUAACAAAUACAUAAGAACAGUUUUUAAAAGGCACAACGACGUUAAAAUAUCUCUUUUACAACUUUACAUUUGCGUAUUACAUCAUACACUUUUCAAAAUAAGUUGACACAUCUUACUGUGUUUAAUCCUCAUAAUGAACCCUGGUGUCGAAAAGGCCUUAUUAUUAUUUUUUUCGCAAAUAAGGAAACUGCAACUCUAAGAGGUAAAGUGACUUGAUGAUAACAAACCAGUUAUAUCACAGCUGGAAUCCAUGUCAUUUAACUUAUUUUUGCGUGACAUCUUUUCUAUUCAUAAACACUCUUUAAAUUACUAAAUUUAAGCCUGUCAUAUGAUUCUCUUGUUUUGGUUCUACUGUCUAUUGCUUUUAGAUAAUAUUUUCUCAACCCUUUUAUUUAUUCUUACUUUCUAUUCUAAAUUCCUGUGCACACUUUUAAUUAUAAAUUCAACAGAAAUUAGAAUGGAAUAAUUUCCUGUUAUCUUCCUGCUGUAACAUCACAAAAGUGUAUUACUAAGAUGAAUUUAAGAAUAUGGAAGUUUCCACUUGAGGCAAUAUGGCAGACUAGAUGUCCUAGUACAAAAUGAACAGGCUAUGCUGUGGCAGGCAGGAAAUAAAGUCUAGGGCCAAAGUUGGUGUGUGUGUGUGCAUGAAGUCCAAGACCUCAGCACAAAGCCAAGAACUUGCAAAGGCAACAUCCUUAGUAGAUGAACUAGAAAGAAACCUUGCUCCACAGAGUAAGACUGGGUAUACUUGCUUGUCUCAGCGACGGCUCUCGGUGAAGGAGGAAAAAACCCUAGAAAGUCCCUUCUGUCUAUUCCUAAUCAUAGGAUUGCACUGUAGCUGAUUUAGGGCUAGAACCCACCCUACCUAUGUGGCUCCUAGCCCCAUCCCUCAUCGCCUCUUGAAAUACUCAAGCUGAAAAUUUAGUGAUCUGAAUUUGAUAGCAACAUCAGCAGUCAGACAAAAGCAAACGCAAAUUCUCUCCAGAGGAAUAUUUUAAACUCAGGUCUUAAAAAUUUCCAGAGAUAAAAUUCCAAGGAACAUAGGCGUAGUAAAGAAGCCAUCCUGAGUAAAAGAAAAACAAACAAACAACAGAAUCAGACCCACCAAACACUGAUGAUUUGGAAAUCUCAAAUAUAGACUAUAAAACAGGUUUCUUAACUAUUUCAAGAAAUGAAGGAGGAUAUUGAGUGUAUGAUGAAGGAACAAGAUAUUAUUCAAAAUAACAAGGCAGAUAUGAAGAAAAAAGAACUCUCAAACUGAAAACGUAAUAAUUGAAUUUAGCAAACUCAGUGGAAUUGAAAACCUGAAAGCUGACAAAUUGGCAGUUGGCACUCUGACUCAAAAUCAACCCUGGAGACCCCACAGAAGGGAGAGGGUCUUAAGGGUCUGAGGACGGAACAGAACAAAUCUAAACCAUCUCAGAGAAC
rnacentral:lncRNA from 1 species